rnacentral:ribozyme from 18 species
UCAUACCGCGAAGGAAGAAAGGAAAAGAAAGAAGGAAAAAAAAAACCAAAAAAAAACGGCAUGCCUGUG